GUUGUUUGUGAUGUCUGUUAGUGUUAGUACAAUUCAGGCAAUUUUUCCUCUCAUGCAUUAGUAUGUGUGGUAUUGACGUUUGUUUGUUUUGGAGUCAAUUCAGAAGUCGCAAGUGAUAUGGAUGCCGAAAUUUUUAUUUCGCUGCUAUGGAACAAGUUAAGUGAUGAACCUUUCUGAUCAAAGCGAAGCAAUGGUCACAGGCGCACGAGGGCAUCAUGGAGUAUAUUGCCAUGGAUUGUGUUAUUAACGACAACUUCCCUUAUUCGAAAUCAGUAUUGAUCGAGAUCAAGGAUGUGAAAUAAAUUUCCAACUGGUUCAUCAAGGGCAAAAUUUUGAGCGACUUCAUCGAGCUGAAUGUGAAGUUCGUCCUGACCCGGAACACGAUCGACGAUGAGGUGUCCGCAACUCGACUCGAGGAACUCAAACCAAAACUGUCCGAUCUGUGCUCGGCGAUCAAGAUGUUCCCCUGUCCGACACAAAAGUAUCGGUUCAGAUAGAGCGAAAUCACCCAGUUGUUGGCAUUUCUGAUUCGUCAUUCAUCGCCCAGGA